rfam:Picoides pubescens contig12793, whole genome shotgun sequence.
GCUGAAGUAGCUCAGAUGGGAGAGCAUUAGACUGAAGAUCUAAAGGUCCCUGGUUCACUCCCAGGCUUCAGAA